UACUCAGUAGCCGUAUGCAUCCAUAGA
rnacentral:sRNA from 1 species